AGUGAACGCUGGCGGUAGGCCUAACACAUGCAAGUCGAACGGCAGCACAGGAGAGCUUGCUCUCUGGGUGGCGAGUGGCGGACGGGUGAGGAAUACAUCGGAAUCUACUUUUUCGUGGGGGAUAACGUAGGGAAACUUACGCUAAUACCGCAUACGACCUACGGGUGAAAGCAGGGGAUCUUCGGACCUUGCGCGAUUGAAUGAGCCGAUGCCGGAUUAGCUAGUUGGCGGGGUAAAGGCCCACCAAGGCGACGAUCCGUAGCUGGUCUGAGAGGAUGAUCAGCCACACUGGAACUGAGACACGGUCCAGACUCCUACGGGAGGCAGCAGUGGGGAAUAUUGGACAAUGGGCGCGAGCCUGAUCCAGCCAUACCGCGUGGGUGAAGAAGGCCUUCGGGUUGUAAAGCCCUUUUGUUGGGAAAGAAAUCCAGCUGGUUAAUACCCGGUUGGGAUGACGGUACCCAAAGAAUAAGCACCGGCUAACUUCGUGCCAGCAGCCGCCGUAA
rnacentral:rRNA from 1 species